rnacentral:tRNA from 1 species
UCCCUGGUGGCUCAGAUGGUAAAGCGUCUGCCUGCAAUGCGGGAGACCCAGGUUCGAUCCCUGGGUGGGAAG